CGGCGUGAUGGCCAUGGAUGAAAAGAGAUGAUGCUGUUGCCAUGGUGAUAACGUCAAAAUGGCGGCUACAUCUGAUGUGCGUCAAACCGAACGCGGUUCUAGACCAAACGCAAGUACGUUGCUAUGACGACAAGGAGACAGGAAAACCUUGUUGGCAUGGUUGUACGUAUGACGUCACUUAAACAACAAAAAGACAAAAGAUCUUGAAUCUUGUUGAGCAAUGGCUGUACAAGCUACCACACACACACAAAUGCGAUUAGUGAGAUGGGAUGCACAUGAGGAGCUUAGUAUACAUCGGUGAUGCUGCCUCCAUGCCAACAUGUCUGUCUGAUUACGCAAUCGGCGUGCUCUCUGCCUCAUCCUGUUGCAUACAUACUGGUACACAUAGUGACAUCUGGUAUUCAGGUGUGGCUUGUUGAGACUAUUGUUAGUCAACAUAAUUGAAUAAUAAACAUGGGUGUAUCAUAAAUAAA